GAGAGUGGGUUAGUCCGUACGAGCGCACCUUGUCCUUAGUUGCCAGCACGUAAUGGUGGGAACUCUAAGGAGACUGCCGGUGACAAACCGGAGGAAGGUGGGGACGACGUCAAGUCAUCAUGGCCCUUACGACCUGGGCUACACACGUGCUACAAUGGCCAGUACAGAGGGCUGCAAGCCCGCGAGGGGGAGCUAAUCUCACAAAGCUGGUCGUAGUCCGGAUCGCAGUCUGCAACUCGACUGCGUGAAGUUGGAAUCGCUAGUAAUCGUGAAUCAGAAUGUCACGGUGAAUACGUUCCCGGGCCUUGUACACACCGCCCGUCACACCAUGGGAGUAGGUUGCAAAAGAAGUAGCUAGGCUAACCUUCGGGAGGCCGGUUACCACUUUGUGAUUUAUGACUGGGGUGAAGUCGUAACAAGGUAGCCCUAGGGGAACCUGGGGCUGGAUCACCUCCUU
rnacentral:rRNA from 1 species